rnacentral:rRNA from 1 species
AAUGAACGUUGGCGGCAUGGAUUAGGCAUGCAAGUCGUGCGAUAUGGAUUUGGUGCUUGCAUUAGAUCCGGAAAGCGGCGAAAGGGAGAGUAACGCGUGGAUUAUCUACCCCGGGGUCCGGAAUAGCUGUGGGAAACUGCAGGUAAUGCCGGAUGACCUCUACGGAGCAAAGGUGUGAUUCCGCCCUGGGAGGGGUCCGCGUCCUAUUAGCUUGUUGGUGGGGUAAUGGCCUACCAAGGCUACGAUGGGUACCGGGCGUGAGAGCGUGACCCGGCUCACUGGGACUGAGACACUGCCCAGACACCUACGGGUGGCUGCAGUCGAGAAUCUUCGGCAAUGGGCGCAAGCCUGACCGAGCAAUGCCGCGUGCGGGAUGAAGGCCUUCGGGUUGUAAACCGCUGUCAGUUGGGAGGAAAUGCCAUGGGGUCCUCUCCAUGGUUGACCU